AUGGGUACAGAAACCAAUUAUCUUUGACUGCCUCUUUUGACCAUGUAACGUGCCAGUCAUCACUAGUAGCAAAGAUUGACAGAAUGACAACAUCACGCUGCACAUCCUCUUCCGGCCUGUGGUGAGCCAGCUUCCUCGAAUCUUCACCAGCAUUGGAGAGGACUGUGAUGAGCGUGUCUAUUACUACAGAGAUCCUCAAGUCGGUGGUGGCUGGCUUUGAUGCUGGAGAGCUAAUCACCCAGAGAACUCACCUCCAGGCAGGUGAGCGAUGACCUUACGGAGCGAGCAGCAACCUUUGGGCUCAUCCUGGAGGAUGUUUCCUUGAUGCAUCUGACUUCGGGAAGGAGUUCACAGAAGCGGUGGAAGCCUAACAGGUGGCUCAGCAGGAAGCAGAGAGGGCCAGAUUUGUGGUGGAAAAGGCUGAGCAGCAGAAAAAGGCAGCCAUCAUCUCUGCUGAGGGCGACUCCAAGGCAGCAGAGCUGAUUGCCAACUCACUGGCCACGGCGGGUGAUGGCCUGAUUGAGCUCCGCAAGCUGGAGGCUGCAGAGGACAUUGCAUUCCAGCUGUGGCGUUCUCGGAACAUCACCUACCUGCCAGCGGGGCAGCCUGUGCUCCUCCAGCUGCCCCAGUGAGGGCCUGCCCUGCCUGUACUCCUCAGGCCAACUGGGCCACAGCCCUGAUGAUGAUGAACACCACCUCCCUUCUGCCCCACCCAGAAAUCACUGUGAAAUCUCAUGAUUGGCUUAAAGUGAAGGAA